rnacentral:rRNA from 1 species
GACGAACGCUGGCGGCGUGCUUAACACAUGCAAGUCGAACGGAAAGGCCCUGCUUUUGUGGGGUGCUCGAGUGGCGAACGGGUGAGUAACACGUGAGUAACCUGCCCUUGACUUUGGGAUAACUUCAGGAAACUGGGGCUAAUACCGGAUAGGAGCUCCUGCUGCAUGGUGGGGGUUGGAAAGUUUCGGCGGUUGGGGAUGGACUCGCGGCUUAUCAGCUGGUUGGUGGGGUAGUGGCUUACCAAGGCUUUGACGGGUAGCCGGCCUGAGAGGGUGACCGGCCACAUUGGGACUGAGAUACGGCCCAGACUCCUACGGGAGGCAGCAGUGGGGAAUAUUGCACAAUGAGCGGAAGCCUGAUGCAGCAACGCCGCGUGCGUGAUGACGGCCUUCGGGUUGUAAACCGCUUUCGCCUGUGACGAAGCGUGAGUGACGGUAAUGGGUAAAGAAGCACCGGCUAACUACGUG